UUUAAGGGAGACCUACCCUCUGAAGACCGAUGAAGUCGGUCACAGAAGGUCAUCCCAGGUCGUCGAGGUCGUGGAAACAAAAGCUUUCAAACUAUUACGGUUCCGGUUCAAGGGCUAUUAGCUCAGGUGGUUAGAGCGCACCCCUGAUAAGGGUGAGGUCCCUGGUUCGAGUCCAGGAUGGCCCACCUAAAAUCAAGCAAUCAACUUGACAAGUAAGGGGGGAAAGCUGGAGUUGGGACAUCCCAAUCAAGUGGCAGAUGCCUAAGCUACAACAAGUCCAAACCGAAAAUCGGAAAAAGAAGUCAGCAUCGACUCUGAAACUGAAAAAGCAUCAGAGAGACUGCUGGACUCUAAUUCCAGCCAAAGAACCUUGAAAACUGCWUAGURACGUUAAAAAGCAGGAAAAAACGAGACGUCCAAUCGAAGAAGGCGUCCGUAUCRUCCAAGCAAGAGAAUGU
rnacentral:tRNA from 1 species